rnacentral:rRNA from 1 species
CCCUUAGAUGUUCUGGGCCGCACGCGCGCUACACUGGUCGAUGCAACGAGUUUCUUUCCUUGGCCGACAGGCCUGGGCAAUCUUUGAACAUCGAUCGUGAUCGGGAUAGAUUCUUGUAAUUUUUGAUCUUAAACGAGGAAUUCCUAGUAAACGCAAGUCAUCAGCUUGCAUUGAUUACGUCCCUGCCCUUUGUACACACCGCCCGUCGCACCUACCGAUUGAAUGGUCCGGUGAAAUCUCCGGACUGGCGUGAGUCGGAGCAAUCUGACAAACACCGGAAAGUUGAUUAAACCUUACCAUUUAGAGGAAGGUGAAGUCGUAACA